CCUACGGGAGGCAGCAGUGAGGAAUAUUGGUCAAUGGCCGGGAGGCUGAACCAGCCAAGUCGCGUGAGGGAAGACGGCCCUACGGGUUGUAAACCUCUUUUGUCAGGGAGCAAGGUGCAGGUCGGGACCUGCUGUGAGAGUACCUGAAGAAAAAGCAUCGGCUAACUCCGUGCCAGCAGCCGCGGUAAUACGGAGGAUGCGAGCGUUAUCCGGGUUUAUUGGGGUAAAGGGGUGCGCAGGCGGAGGCACAAGUCAGCGGUAAAAUCGCGGGGCUCAACCCCGCUCCGCCGUUGAAACUGUGGCCCUUGAGUGCGCGAAGGGUAGGCGGAAUGCGUGGUGUAGCGGUGAAAUGCAUAGAUAUCACGCAGAACUCCGAUCGCGAAGGCAGCCUACCGGCGCGCAACUGACGCUCAUGCACGAAAGCGUGGGUAUCGAACAGGAUUAGAUACCCCAGUAGUC
rnacentral:rRNA from 1 species